CUACGGGCGGCUGCAGUGGGGAAUAUUGGACAAUGGGGGAAACCCUGAUCCAGCAAUGCCGCGUGUGUGAAGAAGGCCUGCGGGUUGUAAAGCACUUUCGGUUGGGAGGACUGCUUCUAGCACUAAUAUUGUUGGAAGUUGACGUUACCUUCAGAAGAAGCACCGGCUACCUCCGUGCCAGCAGCCGCGGUAAUACGGAGGGGCAAGCGUUAAUCGGAAUUACUGGGCGUAAAGCGCGCGUAGGCGGCUAGAUCAGUCGGGUGUGAAAGCCCCGGGCUUAACCUGGGAACUGCAUCCGAUACUGUCUAGCUUGAGUACAGGAGAGGAGAGUGGAAUUCCACAUGUAGCGGUGAAAUGCGUAGAUAUGUGGAGGAACACCAAUGGCGAAGGCAGCUCUCUGGCCUGAUACUGACGCUGAGGUGCGAAAGCGUGGGGAGCAAACAGGAUUAGAUACCCCUGUAGUC
rnacentral:rRNA from 1 species